ACAUACUCUGCCAGAUCAUUAGUCAGGUCAAGAAGCAUCCAAGCUUGAUGCCCCUCUUUGUAUUUAUUGGAGUUGGAGAUACUGGAGCAGCACUGUAUCUCUUGUUUCUGGCAUUGUUCAAUCCAGAUGUUAAUUGGGACAGAAAGAAUAACUCAGAGCCCUGGAACAAACUGGAUCCCAAUGAUCAGUACAAGUUCUACUCAGUGAAUGUGGAUUACAGCAAACUAAAGAAAGAAGGUCCAGA
rnacentral:lncRNA from 1 species